rnacentral:rRNA from 1 species
GACGAACGCUGGCGGCGUGCCUAACACAUGCAAGUCGAACGGAAAGGCCCUGCUUUUGUGGGGUGAUGGAGUGGCGAUCGGGUACGUAACACGUGAGUAACCUGAUCUUGACUUUGGUAUAAGUUAACGAAACUGGAGUUACUCUCAGACAGGAGCCGAUGCUGCAUGGCGGGGGUUGGAUCGUUUCGGCGGUAGGGGAUGAAUUGGCGGCUUAUCAGUUUGCUGGUGGGGUAGUGGAUUACCAAGGAAUUGACGGGUCCCCGGCAUGUGAGGGUGACCGGCCACAUUGGGACUGAGGUACGGCCCAGACUCCAAUGGGAGGCAGAAGUGGGGAAUAUUGCACAACGGGCCGACGCCUGUUACAGCGACGCCGCGUGCGGGAUGACGGCCUUCGGGUUGUGAACCGCUGUCGCCUGUGACGAAGCGUUUGUGACGGUAAUCGGUGAAGAAGCACCGGCUAACUACGUG